CAGCAGCCACGGGAAUACGUAGGGUGCGAGCGUUAAUCGGAAUUACUGGGCGUAAAGCGUGCGCAGGCGGUUCGUUAAGACAGAUGUGAAAUCCCCGGGCUUAACCUGGGAACUGCAUUUGUGACUGACGGGCUAGAGUAUGGCAGAGGGGGGUAGAAUUCCACGUGUAGCAGUGAAAUGCGUAGAGAUGUGGAGGAAUACCGAUGGCGAAGGCAGACCCCUGGGCCAAUACUGACGCUCAUGCACGAAAGCGUGGGGAGCAAACAGGAUUAGAUACCCCCGUAGUCCCUGUCUCUUAUAC
rnacentral:rRNA from 1 species